rnacentral:rRNA from 1 species
UACGUAGGGGGCGAGCGUUGUCCGGAUUUAUUGGGCGUAAAGAGCGUGUAGGCGGCCAGGUAGGUCUGCUGUGAAAACUCGAGGCUCAACCUCGAGACGUCGGCGGAAACCAUCUGGCUAGAGUCCGGAAGAGGAGAGUGGAAUUCCUGGUGUAGCGGUGAAAUGCAUUGAGAUCGGAAAGAACACCAACGGCGAAAGCACUCUGCUGGGCCGACACUGACACUGAGAGACGAAAGCUAGGGGAGCAAAUGGG